AGGAUGAGCUGGCGGCGUGCUACACAUGCAAGUCGAGCGAAGCACUUUUGUCUUUGUAUUCUUUCGGGUAGGAAAAGGUAAAUUUGACUGAGCGGCGGACGGGUGGAGUAACGCGUGGGUAACCUGCCUCAUACAGGGGGAUAACGAGUUAGAAAUGACUGCUAAUACCGCAUAAGACCACAGUACUGCAUGGUACAGUGGUAAAAACUCCGGUGGUAUGAGAUGGACCCGCGUCUGAUUAGCUGGUUGGUGGGGUAACGGCCCACCAAGGCGACGAUCAGUAGCCGGCCUGAGAGGGUGAACGGCCACAUUGGGACUGAGACACGGCCCAAACUCCUACGGGAGGCAGCAGUGGGGGAUAUUGCACAAUGGGGGGAACCUUGAUGCAGCGACGCCGCGUGAGCGAUGAAGUAUUUCGGUAUGUAAAGCUCUAUCAGCAGGGAAGAAAAUGACGGUACCUGACUAAGAAGCCCCGGCUAACUACGUG
rnacentral:rRNA from 1 species